rnacentral:rRNA from 1 species
UGGGUCCUACGGGAGGCAGCAGCAGGGAAUCUUCCACAAUGGGCGAAAGCCUGAUGGAGCAACGCCGCGUGGGUGAAGAAGGUCUUCGGAUCGUAAAACCCUGUUGUUAGAGAAGAAAGUGCGUGAGAGUAACUGUUCACGUUUCGACGGUAUCUAACAAGAAAGCCACGGCUAACUACGUGCCAGCAGCCGCGGUAAUAAGUAGGUGGCAAGCGUGAGCCGGAUUUAUUGGGAGUAAAGGGAACGCAGGCGUUCUUUUAAG